rnacentral:rRNA from 1 species
GGCUACCACUUUUAAGGAAGGCAGCAGGCGCGCAAAUUACCCAAUCCCGACACGGGGAGGUAGUGACAAUAAAUACUGAUACAGGGCUCUUAUGGGUCUUGUAAUCGGAAUGAGUACAAUUUAAAUCCCUUAACGAGGAACAAUUGGAGGGCAAGUCUGGUGCCAGCAGCCGCGGUAAUUCCAGCUCCAAUAGCGUAUAUUAAAGUUGUUGUGGUUAAAAAGCUCGUAGUUGAACCUUGGGCCUGGCUGGCCGGUCCCCCUCACCGGGUGCACUGGUUCCGGCCGGGUCUUUCCCUCUGUGGAACCGCAUGCCCUUCACUGGGUGUGUCGGGGAAACAGGACUUUUACUUUGAAAAAAUUAGAGUGCUCCAGGCAGGCCUAUGCUCGAAUCGUACAGCAUGGAAUAAUAGAAUAGGACGUGUGGUUCUAUUUUGUUGGUUUCUAGGACCGCCGUAAUGAUUAAUAGGGACAGUCGGGGGCAUCAGU